rnacentral:rRNA from 1 species
GAUGAACGCUGGCGGCGUGCCUAAUACAUGCCAGUCGAGCGAACGGACGAGGCGCUUGCUUGUCUGAUGUUAGCGGCGGACGGGUGAGUAACACGUGGAUAACCUACCUAGAAGACUGGGAUAACUUCGGGAAACCGGAGCUAAUACCGGAUAAUAUUUUGAACCGCAUGGUUCAAAAGUGAAAGACGGUCUUGCUGUCACUUAUAGAUGGAUCCGCGCUGCAUUAGCUAGUUGGUAAGGUAACGGCUUACCAAGGCAACGAUGCCUAGCCGACCUGAGAGGGUGAUCGGCCACACUGGAACUGAGACACGGUCCAGACUCCUACGGGAGGCAGCAGUAGGGAAUAUUCCGCAAUGGGCGAAAGCCUGACGGAGCAACGCCGCGUGAGUGAUGAAGGUCUUCGGAUCGUAAAACUCUGUUAUUAGGGAAGAACAUAUGUGUAAGUAACUGUGCACAUCUUGACGGUACCUAAUCAGAAAGCCACGGCUAACUACGUG